rnacentral:rRNA from 1 species
GAGAGUUAAACAGUACGUGAAAUUGUUGAAAGGGAAACGAUUGAAGUCAGUCGUACCAGCGGGAAAUCAACCUUUCGAGUGGGGUUUUGGAGUUUUGAAGAGUGUCAAAACCUUUGAGAUUUCAAAAUUUUCGCUCUUUUGGUGUACUUUCUCGUGGGUAGGUUAACAUCGAUUUUGAUCAUCAUAAAAAGAUUGGAGGAAUGUAGCUUCGAUCUUGUAUUGAAGUGUUAUAGCCUUUGGUAAAUGUGAUGAUUAGGAUCGAGGAUUGCAACGAAUACCCUUUUGGGCUAUCAGUCUGAUCUCUGAUACGUGGCCUUGGUAUCGAAAGCGUGCUUAUGGUAUUAAGGUAUUACGGUCAAAAGGUUAGAACGGAUUACAUUCGUUAAGGAUGUUGACGUAAUGGCUUUAAACGA